CCUGUAUCAUCAUUACCUUAACCCCUUCUUGCCAAUUUUCAUUAAGUCAAUCCUCUUAACAAAUUCUUUGAAGGCAGGCCUUGUCAGUGGCUUGAUUAGACUGUCAGCUAUAUUGGCUGUAGAACCAACAUGUUUCAUCAUGAUUUCACCUUUUUCAAUCAAGUUGCAAAGAAUAUGGUAUCUGAUCUCAAUAUGACAUGAUCUUCUUGUCAAGGACUCCUCUUUUGCUAGAUCUAUUGUGCUCUUGUUGUCAACUCACAGAUGUGAGCAUAUUUUUGCUUUUCCCUCUACCAAUCCAGCAUCAUACAAUAUAUCAUUCAGUC
rnacentral:sRNA from 2 species